UACGGGGGGAGCAAGCGUUGUUCGGAAUUACUGGGCGUAAAGCGUGCGCAGGCGGUUAUGUAAGACAGAUGUGAAAUGCCCGGGCUUAACCUGGGAACUGCAUUUGAAACUGUCUAUCUAGAGGGUAGGAGGAGAAAACGGAAUUCCACAAGUAGCGGUGAAAUGCGUAGAUAUGUGGAAGAACACCGGUGGCGAAGGCGGUUUUCUAUCUUAUUCCUGACGCUGAGGCGCGAAAAGCAAGGGGAUCAAACA
rnacentral:rRNA from 1 species